ensembl:lincRNA 1700112H15Rik RIKEN cDNA 1700112H15 gene
CCCUUCCCUUUUCAUGCCCUGAACAGUUAGCAUCCAGGUCUUUCACGUGAAGUGCUGUGGAACAGAAGCACACAGUGGGGUCACAGUCCAGCACUGAAGAACAUCGAGGCAAGAAUCCAAGCAGAGCGGUUGAAGCUUUCAAUGGGAGGACCAAGAGGAAUGAGGAAGCCAGGCACAACAUAACAUGGAGUUCCGACAGUACCCAAGCAAGCUGGUGUGCUGUGGAGACACCUGGCCCUGGAGAAAUUGUUUUGAAGAUACAGUUGUUUCUACUAUCCAGCUCACCUGUUUGUUACUUAGUGGAGUUGAAAGUUGUGACCCUCAAAUAGCUACUUACUCAACUACGUUUUCACAAAUAGGUUUUGUUCUUGCUUUUUAAAAACUAGUACUGCAGAUGUGAUGCAAGGCCAAAGUACAUCAAGCUGGUAGUAGGAUUUGUCUUCGUCUACACGGAGCUGCUUUUCCAGGGAGUUUUCUGUAAAGGUUAAACUGAGGAGGGACAAACAACCCAGACUGUUGCUAUUGUCACAUGGGCUGGGACCUUGGACUGAUCAAAAAGGGAAAAAGGAGAAAGCCAGCUGGGUGUGACCAUUGGUGACCGCUGCCAGACUCUGGGUGCAAUGUGAAGACCAUUGCCAAGUGCCUUCCACAGUGGAUUUUAUCCUCUAAAACUAAAUAAACUCUCCUUUCCUUGAGU